CCCAUCACCACCUUUACAGGAAACAGGUGUAAAUGCUCACAGGAAAAGGCUCAAGUGAAUCCUGUUGACAGGAGUAAAUGAGUGCUGGUGGUGGGGACGCUCAUACGUAUGAGAAGAGGGAGCAGCUAUCUAGCAGGAGUGCUCUUUUCUGCAGGAGACGCAACGCUUCAGCGCCUUUAGCAUUGCCACCAGUAGAGCCAAGAAAAUCUCCCACCUCCCCAUGCCGUAUGCUACUGAGAUUGCAGUUUGUAUCAUCGGCCAAAGGAUAACAAAUUUAAAUUUGUGCUAGGAGCCUUAUAAGGGCAUUAACACUUGCGUUCGGGUUGGACGUCACGACGGCAAGCAAAGGAGAGGUGCCAAUAAUAGAUCCCCGGUGUUUGUACAUCGCACAGUGACUAUUUGUGCCAUCCGUGGGAAACGGAGUGAUAUGCCAGACGGCGAAGUGUUUCAUUUAGCCCCAGUCACGGGGGCCGGUUCCGCGCACAGCCUCGCUCAGUCGCUCGUCCCCGCUCCUGCAGAGCUCAGCCAGCGUCUGCCACGAGGAAGAGGAGGAGGAAGGUGGCGAGGCCGGCGCUCACGGGUCGGCCCCGUGCCCUGCCCUGCUGUCAGGCAACUCUGCGGCCCCAAAAACUGAAAUUCAACAGCGGCGACCCCGAGCAGUGGCGAUGUAGCCUACAUUUCUGCCCUGGCCAUGUCAGGCUGUAGCACAGCUUCUUGCCCAUGGGGCUGGAGCGUGAAGGCAGGGUCCCUGCUGCUAGGGGCGCAGGAGAGCGUGGCUGUGUCUCUGCCAAGCGCUUUCUCGUGGCAUCGUUUUGUGUUUACUCAAUUAAUGACCUGCUUUCCUACUGCUCCCUCCCUCAGGCCUUAUUGGCCACAGGUGUGACCUGUGGAAAAUUUAUAGCUCAGGCAAGGAAGCCGUGCACUGCCAUGGUGACUAAGUCACAGGACUCGACUCAGUGCAGCUUGCUUUGUUUCUGUCCACAGUGAGCAGCAUGGGGAUCAUGCUGCAGUGAGGAUUCUCUUGAAAGUGGGGUCCUAUAAGCAAAAGUGCGCAAAUGCUCUGAGUGGGGAGCACAUUUGGCUAAUUGUUUUGUAUUUUAGCCCCAGACAAUACAAACUACUCAAAGCUCAGUCAGAGGAUGUUUGAGUGAAGUUGGAAUCAAAUCUGUCCAUCUCCUUGGUGUGAGAGCAUGGCUCUCAAUUAAAAAUUAAUGCAGCUAACGAAGGAAGACCAAAACCAUUUCCACUUUGUGCCCUACAUGAUGGGUGAUGAUUGAAAGGGGAAAAAAGAUUAAUCAAAUUACAGAAGUAUUUGCAUGCCUACAAAUGGAACCCUAGGUUACACCGACUUCCUUCCCAGCUGUUUUAUGAUUAAGUUGUGCAGGUAAGAACACACCGUGCUUCCUCAGCCAAGCAAUCUCUUUCCAAGCUGUGAGGGAUGCUGCCUGGUGGGGAGAGCUGUGCGAGGGGCAUGCGGGAGCCCUGCAUACAAGUGUGCUUGCCAGCACGCAGCCAAGUGCCUUGCGGUAUGCCAGGUACCAGCUGCUGCUUCCUAGCCAGGGUUUUGCACAAAUGAAAUGGCUGUGAGCUAUGCUCGGCAUUCAGGCUCUGCGCUGGCCAGACGGGAAGGAGGAUGGCUGUGCUCCUCUCCCUGGGGGGUGGCAUGGCUUCAGCUGCUGGAAUCUUCAGGACUGCUUUCUGUGCUGGUGAGGAUAGAGCGAGCUCUCACGGUUGACACGCAAUUCAUCAAGAAGCCUCGCAGGUCACCCCCAUACCAGGGCGUAGCGACCAGGCAGCUCAAUGGAGCUGUGAGUAGACUGCUUUUUCCCUGAAUCCUCCCUGCUCUUCCCUUCCUUGUUAUUCAAGCAUUUAUCCAGGGGAUGUGAAGGUCAAGUAUGUUGGCCUGCGGAUGAAGGUGGUGUUUGCUUUGUGUCAGCUGGGAACCUGGGUGAGCCGCAGGCUGUCGGAGGUGCCUCGCGGUCACUGAAUUCUCCACUCCAGGCUCAUCUGAAAUGCCGCCUUUUGAAUUCCAGAGGAAGUGUUCUGAGGCCAGGAGAAGAGUAAAUAACAUGUCAGCCUUGAAAGCCCCAGCUGCGCAUGCCCACCUGAAUGUCAAUACGCGUGCGUGUGUAUAUAUAGAUGUGUAUUUGUCACCACUGCAUUUUUUCCAUUGUAUAUGCAGCACUCUACCGGUGUCUGUCCGUGAUGCUGCAUAUUGCAAAUGUCUGGUUAUGCUGCAUGCUGGCUCUGGAGUUGAGAGGCGAAGAAAACAUCUGAAGUAUGUUACUGAAAUAGUGACCAAAGCUGAAAAAAAUGUCUGACUCCCAGGUUACUGAAAUGUUAGAAAUACUCUUGUGUCAGGUCUUGGAACGUGUUGUUUCCUGAAGCUGCUUAUUCACAGCCCUCCAGUGUGGAAACACUGGCAGGGGGGUCUCCAUCAGCAGAGCCGCUGGCUUCUUUGUGUGCUGUCAGAGCUUCCCUCGGGCGCACCAUGUCACCGGCGGUGCCCCGACAGCAUCAAGUGCUCCUUCCUUUCCUUGCAAUGCUCAGUCAUCUUUUCGUCUUCUGUCACCUUUCAGCUGAAACAUAUAGAGUGCAGGAACUAGCUGUGUACACAGUCAUCUUGUGCAUACAGAGGCAACGCCACAGGAGUUCUUUUUCUGAAGAAAAUGAUGAGCUUCUCUGGAAAAGGAAGACGAUAGACCUCACACUGUUGAAACUUUAAGCAUUUUUUGAUAGUGAUCUGUGUUCUUUAAGUGCCAAAAUAUUUUUAGUUACUCUUCUCUGAUCGCCGACUGCAGCCACAUCAGUGUUUUGGAAGACAGGGCUCAUCUGUCCUAUCAGUGAGUGAACAUGGCAUCCUUCUGGCGAUACCCGAAGAACUGAGGCUCUGUGGCGUUCGUGUGGUGGGUGGAAGUGACCUCCUGCAGAUGUGAAAGCAGAAGGGGAAGACAUUGCUAGAGAUCCUUCUUCCGAGUGCCCCUUGGAGAAGAGGGUGGUGCAGGCCUGGUGGGCCUGUGCCGCCUGGCAUCAUGUCCACUCCUCUGCAGACACAGUGUCCGGGUGCCUUGGUGGCAUGAGGUGGCCCUUGUCCUGUACAACGCUCAGCUCAAAAGACGAGGUCUCUCAACUAAACGUGUACAUUUCUCAGUACGCUUUGUGAUGACAAAAUGAGCUUGCAAACACAACCUAGCACUCAGCUUUGCUCUCCGCAGAGAACUGCAGGCCGUGGGGUCAGGAAGCAAGGCUCUGAGCUCCUUCUUUGUCCCCACUGGACUGUUUGGGCUGUUUUUACACCUUCUACAACAGCUGUAGACGUGGAUGCGUUGAUGAGCCUUUACCCAUGCUGGUGGGUCACCGUGGUGGCCACCUUAGUUGCCAUGUGGCCUGGUCCUCAAAGCAGGCCUGGCUGGCACAUCUUGGGCUCGGAAGGCCCGUGGGGAUGCCCCUCCUCAGUUCCUUCCUGCUGUUUCUAGGCAGAGCCAGGCCAGAGUUGCUGCCAGCACUAGUGCUUCACACCCAGCUUAAGCCUUGAACUGAUUGUGUGAACAAACAGCCUGGUGUGGCAGCCUUUCCACUUGGAGAAUUUAGAAACUGAGGCACGCAAGCAAGGAAACUCUUUCCCUGUGUGCAUGAUUGCAGAGCCUUUAAUUUCUGGUUGUGCUUUCUGGCUGCACGUUCUCAAGGAACGCUCCUUUUGGCAUGACAGCGGCUCCCAGACAGGGCCCAGCUGCUGUGCGGCCACUGGGACAGCGCUAGGCUGUUCCGCCCAGCAUCGCGUGGAUGCGAGCGGAGGGUGGGACGAAGGGAUGUAGCCAGGGCUGGGAAGUGGAGCAGUGAAGUGCCAUGGGCACCCCGGGAUGCUGGCAGGCCAGGGGAUGCUCCCUGGAGUACUGCUGCUUACAGCGUGCAGGCAGCCAGGGCUGCACUUCUUAAUGCCUGUGAUAAAGUGGGCAUCCAGCCCUGCGAGAGGCAAGAUUACCUUUGCUAGAGAUGAGCUUGUGGAUGUCACCCUCGGUCACUGGAAAGCUUUCAUGUCAGAUUGAUUUUUCGGUGCGUGAAGCAGGCUUGCUUUCUCGUGUGGCAGUUUGUUCAGAGGGCCGUGGGCUGCCUGAGCCUUUGCCGCUAAUGCUGUCACCCUCUAAUAAAGGCAUUGAUUUGUAGCGUGGAGCUGGGAUACCUGGGACAGCUGUCACUCUGCCCCAAAGUCAUAAAUCCUCAUGGCCUCCCUCAUCUGCCAGUCCUCCGUGAUUAAAGCGAGAGCUCCUCUGAGCAAUGAAUCACCGCUGCUCAUAGGCAUUCGCUUGCCGCCUUACCGCUGCAGCCCACUCUGCGUGUUGUCCAGGCACCGUUUGCCUGACAUAAACAAUAGAUAAGAUGUCAAACAUGCAGAAUUGCUCUGGAAGGAAACAGCAAUGAUCUCUGCAGCUCCAGGUUUCUUAUUUCCUUUUAAGCUUGGAAAUUAAAUGUGGGGAUUCUCCAAAACCAACACAAACACUUGGGUGGUUGGCACUUUCCUUUGUUUGUGCAUAUAGAACAUGUUUCAGUGCAGCAGGGAGAGAGAUGCCAUUAAUACCUAGUACUAAGCAUGCAAAUUACUGCUAGAUUUUGUGUAAGCAAUUUAGAACCCUUUGGUUUUUUCCGCAGUGCUCCCUCCUAUUUAUCAGUUUCUUCCCUGUACCUCUCUGCUCACCUGCGUCUUCAUUCAUCAUUCAUUUACACAGCCAUUCCGAGUAUCAGAAACCAAUUUCCUCCCUGAACCUGGUCCUGUACCAAAGCGAUGCUACCCCGCAUGAAAGCGAUGUUAUGAAGCUCCUGUGUCCCCGAUGUCUGUCUCCAAUCAGACAAGUCAACAGGCCCCAGCCCACCCAACAAGCAGCUGGUGAGCAGCUCCCGGUGCCGCGCGCGGCUCUGCCGCUGAAUCACUGCCUUGACUGAGAUCCAAGGGCCCCACUUCGCACUCCCUCCAGGGCGUGCGUGCGUCUGCAUGCAAGCACGCCACAGGCAGCCCGUGCUCCAGCUCUAUCUGCAGAUAGCGAAUGUAAAUCAGCAGCAGAGUUGCACAACCACUGCGUUAUAUCCGUGCAAAUCGGUCAGUCUGCUCACCUGCACGAGUGCUUGCUCCCGUGUCUCUGCCUGGCGCGUGCUGUGCCAGUGUUAAUGACCGCAGCCACCUGACCCCUCCACAAGCAGCAUACCCCGGCAUCCCUGGCACCAGCAAGGUCACACAGCAGUGACGGGAGCCGUGCCUGCCUUUCCUCCUGUAAGCACGGCCGAGUCUCUGUGAGCUAACCUAAGCGAGUGCCACACAAGCAGAUGAGAUAUAGCCUGAACUGCAUUUGCAUCAGCGGUAGUCUGAGAAAAACAAAGCAGGGAUGCUUAAUUCUAGAAGCUGUCCUGAAUCACACCUUCUCCGUAAAUAACAAAAGUAGCGGAAGGAAAACUACCCCAGCUUUGCUGCUGUCUCCAUAGCGUGGGAGCAAUGUCCAAGGCACCCAGCACUGGGACGGUGGGAAUCUGGUGUUCUCUGACUUAUAGCAUUCCCAGGGGUGCUGAGCUCAAGCCACACUUGGGUCUCUCCCUUGGUUUUACCAAGGAUAAAUGUGAGACUGCCCCAGCUUGAGAUCUUCCCGAGAAGUUCCCGAGUCACUGUUGUGCUGGGGAGAAGCCAUCGCACCCUGCCAGUCUGCACUCAGAGGGGGCACAUUGCUCACCAUGCACCUUAAGGUGCAACCAUGAGACACGUCCGCUGCAGCCUGCCUACUCCAUAGGAUUUCCUGGUAUUUUGAGGAGACGGAAAGCAAGCUGUAAUGUUCUAGUGCUUUAAAGGAGGACUGAGCAUUGGUGGGAGGCUUGUUUAGUAUCUGAGUGGGAUCAUGACUACGAUGUUCAUCUGCAUGUUACCAGCGUGGAAAAUACGCAAUUGGGAGCGGUUUGAAGACGAGUGGGCUUGGAAGAAAGGAAAACUAUUCCAGGGAGGGAGGAGGAAGGGACUGCUAACGUUUGCAGCACGAAGAUCAUGGAGAAGAUGGAGCUAUCAGAGCAGGAUAAUCUGCAGGAGGAGGAAAUAAGGCAUAGAUCAUCAGUACUUUAUGGGAGGCAACCCUCAAAGCACGCUGGGAGGACGGUAUUUCCCCUCUGGGCAGCAGCAGGCAGUGCCAAACCCGCCUGCUGCAGAGGCAGGAGGUUACCAGCCAACGCAGCACACACCGACCCCGCGGGACCUUUCUUUCAAGCACGCCAUGAGCGUGCUGGCAUGUAGAGAUGCUGGCAGCCACGUUUCACACCAGCGAUGAUGCAAUAUGGCUCUUGUUUCAGAAGCGUCUCCUUCAAGUUGACAGAUACUGUUAGCAUCUGAUUCUGCUCGGAUUGCCAGUGCCGGGCUUUGAGGCAGUUUCCCAAUGAUCUCUGAAGGAGCAGCAUGUUACUGGCUGUAAGAAGCCUCCCAGCCUGUGCCUAGCAGGACAGCCAGCUGCACGCCUCGAGUACGUGAAAAAGCCGACAAAUAACAGCUCGCUGCUUUUGCCUGCUGCUUUAAGCCAGGGAAUGAACGUUUGCAGCUCACUUGGGAUUUAGUUGCGUUUGGCGGGUUGGUUCAAGGCACCAGGACCUUCCAGCAACGCUCCUACGGUAUUCUUCACAUUCUUUUGUCUGAGAGAGGGGAAAAUGUAUGACUGAUCCUUGCUUAAUUAGGCCUCAUCUGCUAAACAGUUUUGUCACUAUUUACAUACGAGUAGUCCCGCUGAAGUCAAGUCCUACAGCUGUAUACUUCAUCUGGUAACAAUGUAAAUCCAAGAUAAACAUACUUGGAACAAGAGAUGUACAUUGCCUUAUAUGUAUGAACCACCUGAACGUAGCAAGCCCUGUGUUGCGCAGCUCUGUCAGAGGCCAACAGCUACGCUGCCUCAGGACCCUGUAAGCAGAACACCUGAUUGCUGCUCUUAAAUGUUGGACUGGACUUGAUGCGCUAAGGCUGACUUUUGCUGAAGCGUACGGCUUGCCACGUGAGUAACUUGGAAACAACUGCGCCCCUCUGUGAUAACGUGGAAAGAAAUUCUCCCCACCUACUCACGUCAAGUGGUGUCACAUGGCUAGGUCUCCCGUGGCCUGGGGAUCUGUUCUUCCAGAGAUGACAGAGCCAGGGAUGAGAGGUAGGAAAAGGAAAUGGCUGGACACCCAGCGGACGGCUGGGUUUAAUCUGCCUCGUCCCCUCACCGGUGCCUCUCCUGCGGGAAUCUCUCUGAAGGACCUGGCAGUGACCUUUCCCUGCCAUUUCUCUGCAGCUGCUCAUGUCCCAUCUCUGUCCCUGCUCCCUCAGAACUUGGUGGGCUGUUCCGUCACCAGUGAGCAUCCCUGUGGGAUUGUGACCGCUUUAUCCUACCUCCCCCUCUUCUGCCGGGGAGCUCCCACGCAUUUGGGCAUCCUUUAUUACUCUGCCCACGACCUUUUGUUCUUCCAUACCCUUUACUUCUGAUGACCUGAUUACUACGCUACCUCCCCCCUCCCCAUGAAUUACUUCAGACUGAUAUGAUGGAAGUGAUGAGGAGCAGAACGCCCCUUUAUCUUACUUUGGUCUGAUGCCCUUGGGACCAUCAGCUGUCGCCUAUCUCAGUGAGGUGGAGGGGUUGGGUUGAGUUAUCCUAAGCAGAGUUUCCCAGGAGCUCUCUAGCACUGGCAAACCCCAUCAAUUGUGCAUCCUGUUCCGGCUGUAGAUUUCCUGGAAAACUUUUGUGCAAGUUUUUAGUAAGUUCAAUGCUAUUACGUCAUCAGAAUAGCGUGACCUGGCCAAGUUUUCCUCUGCAUGUUCCUAGCAACUGAGACCUGUGUCAAAGUAUGAAACUGUCUGAAAGUUAAUGGGAUGAGAAGCAGGAGAAGUGCUGUGGAUUGACUGCUUCUUUACCAAUGAUGGAGCUGGGAUGGCUUUCUAGAUGCAAGUUCCUUGAGUUAUGAAAGAAGUACGUAGAAGUGAUUUUUAAAACUGAUACGGUAUUUUCAUAGAGUUGUCUCUACCCAAAACUGCCGAGAAGAACUCUGCAGAGCCAGAAAUUUUCAGGACUUGGAUACUUACUUGUGUGAGUGACCUGUGGGACUUUCUGUCCCACAUUGAUAUUACUGCAGUGAUUUUGCUCCGCUGAGGGACAGGUGGAAGCUGUUGGCUCGGAAGGCUGGGAGAGCACAGCUUGCCGCCAUCUCACUUGCUGAAAUGCUUGUGGGGUCAUUUUAAUGGAAUUUAAACAGUGGUACUAACAUGACUUCAUAACUGCUACUAACAUGAACUAUCAGUACUUGCAGCAGUUGAAAGUUCAGCUUCCCGGCGGACGAGCGGUGCCUCGGGAUGGGUCUCGGGUGACAAGUGACAGGGCAAUCUGCUGGGUGCAGCCUUACACCAGCUUCGCGAGCUGCUCGUCCCGCCGCGUUGUCACACAGCAGCGUGUGAUGUUGGUGAAGGGGGCCUGCAGUCCUCCUCCGGGCAGGUGCACUGGAGCCUACCUGGCUUCCCUUCGGCCACCUUGCCCCCAGGACAGCCGAGGCAGGGACAUACCAGCUGUACCAGUCUUAGGGCAGCAUCUGCUGGUUAUUGCAUGGAUCAACAGAAGUGGUUGUCAUGGAAGAGGCUGCUUGCUUUGGCUCCCGGGCGGAGGUACCCAGGGCUGGGGCUGGGGGGGAGCAGGGGCGUUUGGGGGAGAAGCACCCCCAUAAACGCACCUGUAGCGGUCGCUCAGGAGGGAAUGGUGAAGGGCGAGGAUCUCAGGCUCUGGCUCCUGUUGCGCUCCCGGGGGCGCUCCGUGAAGUUUGGCGACUCCGGGGCCGGAUGGCUGCGGUUCUCCCCCGAGGGCUGGGGCGGGCGCGGUGGCGGCAUCCGGGCUGCGACCCCUGGAGUGGAAACACGGAGAGAAAACGGUGGCAGUGGGGGGCAGGGAAGGAGCCCCUCACUCCGGGGGGCAUGAAGGGGGGUGGGAAGGGGGGGACGUCUGGGGCAGAGAGAGCCGGGGGAGCGGGACGGGAAGUUGCGGUCGGAUUCGGCGCGGCUCGCCCAGGCCGGGGUGCCGCGCUCCCCGCGGGUGCGCAACAGGUCCCGGAGCGCUCCCGCGGGAGGUCCGCAGGUGGACUUACCUGUGCCCCGCGGGCAGGGCCGGGCACGGCGCCCUGCGGGCCGGGAGGCGGAAGGAGCGCGGCCGGGGCUGCGCCGGGUCGGGGCUUUCCUCGGGAACUUUCCGUCCCGCUUCCCGGGGGCGGCCGCGGGCGCGUUUUAUAGCGAGCGAGCCGGUAACCCCUCUCAUUCAUUAGGAUCACGUAAGAACUCGGAGGGAAACGUGACUCUGAGCUAAGGCGUUUGCGUACAUCUAUAGGUUUUUAAAACUCCCUGCCAGUCGC